GCACCCGUGGUGAAAUUGGCAUACACGCAAGAUUCAGGUUCUUGUGCCAGCGAUGGCGUGGAGGUUCGACUCCUCUCGGGUGCACCA
rnacentral:tRNA from 3 species